rnacentral:rRNA from 1 species
GCAGCCGCGGUAAUUCCAGCUCUCAAAGUGCAUAGAAUUAUUGCUGCGGUUAAAAAGCUCGUAGUUGGAUCUGUGCCAUAGGACGUGGUCCACCUUCGGGUGCGUACUACGCUCCUAGGCUUUUUGCUGGUUUUCCCGUCGUAGCCUUCACUGGUUGCGGCGGGUGGCUGGCGAGUUUACUUUGAGAAAAUCAGAGUGCUCAAUACAGGCGUAUCGCUUGAAUGAUUGUGCAUGGAAUAAUAGAAAAGGAUUUCGGUCCUCUUUUAUUGGUUUUGUGGACUGAGAUAAUGGUUAACAGGGACAAACGGGGGCAUUCGUAUCUCUGCGUGAGAGGUGAAAUUCUUGGACCGUAGAGAGACGCCCUACUGCGAAAGCAUUUGCCAAGAAUGUCUUCAUUAAUCAAGAACGAAAGUCAGAGGUUCGAAGGCGAUCAGAUACCGCCCUAGUUCUGACCGUAAACGAUGCCAACUAGCGAUCCGCCGGUGGAUUUUUAGCCCUGGUGGGUAGCUUCCCGGAAACGAAAGUCUUCCGGUUCCGGGGGAAGUAUGGUUGCAAAGCUGAAACUUAAAGGAAUUGACGGAAGGGCACCACCAGGAGUGGAGCCUGCGGCUUAAUUUGACUCAACACGGGGAAACUCACCCGGCCCGGACACCGUAAGGAUUGACAGAUUGAUAGCUCUUUCAUGAUUCGGUGGUUGGUGGUGCAUGGCCGUUCUUAGUUCGUGGAUCGAUUUGUCUGGUUUAUUCCGAUAACGAGCGAGACUCUAGCCUACUAAAUAGUAACGAGAUUAUCAAUGUCUCAGUUGCUUCUUAGAGGGAUUUUCGGUGUUUAGCCGCACGAGAUUGAGCAAUAACAGGUCUGUGAUGCCCUUAGAUGUCCGGGGCUGCACGCGCGCUACACUGGCGAAAUCAGCGUGCUGUAUCCAUUCUCGAAAGGGAUUGGUAAACCCAUGAAAAUUUGCCGUGCUUGGGAUCGGAAAUUGCAAUUAUUUUCCGUGAACGAGGAAUUCCAAGUAAGUGCGAGUCAUCAACUCGCUCUGAUUACGUCCCUGCCCUUUGUACACACCGCCCGUCGCUGCCCGGGACUGAGCCAUUUCGAGAAGAUCAGGGACUGGUGGACUGUGGCCUCUUCGGAGGUCCGGUUCGCUGGAAACUGAUUUGAUCGCAGUGGCUUGAACCGGGCAA